UCAAUAAUGUAUGGUCAAACCGUCAAAAGUGGGUAAGAAGAUAGAAAAGAUAGAAACUUUACGUUACAAGAAAGUUUAAAUUCCUAAAUCUUAAGUGAAAUUGAAGUAAAAAAAUAAAGGUUCUAAAAUUGAAGUAAACAAAAUAAGAUGUAAAGAGAUAAAAAAAAAAAGGGUUCUAUAAUUGAAGUAAACAAAAUAAGGUGUAAAAAGAUAUUUCCUAUACUUAUCUUGGAGCUUUCCCUCUCACUCCCUCCUAAUAUGUUUCUCUAUUUGAUAUUCAUAUUUUUUAUUCUUUAUAGGAAAAUGAUCUUUUUAUAUAUGUAGAAUCCCAAAGCAUCGUCACUAAAAAAAAAUUGAGAUUGAUCAUGCGUAUGAUCCCAAAGCAUCAUCAUUCAAAAUUGAGAUUGAUUCAUAGAAAAGUCAAGUUUCAACCUGAUCAUUACUCUUUUUUUAUGGGAUUUUUCUUUGUUAUCAAAUCUCUCUCUCUUAUCAUUUUGCCUCUGGAGCCAUCCUCUCAAAGAGGUCGCUGGGGAAUAUUCGUGGCUCGGAGUUUGAGUCAGACUUCGACGAGAUUCAUGAGACAGACGACAAGCUUGACAACCUCUGUAACGCAUGACAAUACGUUGAGAAGAAGAUGGUGAAGGAUGAGUUCUUCAACAUGAACUCUGAGAAAUGGGAUCAGAAGAUUAAGGAAGGCCAGGAAAAAGGAUUCCUCUAAGACCCUGGCAAAUGCAAAGAAACCCUUGAGGACAUUCUCAAUUGGCACAUGCUUCUCCCUGUUGCAGGACAACAUACCUUGAAUUGAAUCUAGCCUGCUUUGUCAAGUACAUGCAAGCUCCUCCUUUUAUUUGUUAUCUCCACAUGACCAGGAAGAUUGUUUGGUCUUUUCUCUUUAUCCCUACAGAUAUUCAAAUGGAAAUUAAGAGGACACUUGAUUCGGUGAAGAUGCGGCUCGAUGCGUUGGGAGGGCCGAUGUGGCGAUUCAACUCGAUGCGGUCCGGAUGCUGGUGCAUCACUGCGAUGCUAAUCAUAGAAGUUAUCUUGAGAGUCUCCAAGUCCAUCAUCAUCACUAUCAGCCUCAGCAGCCUCCACGUAUUCAUUAAAUUUUGUUUACUUUUGCCUAUAAGGAGUUUUAUACAGGGUCUCAAAUCUUGGAAACUUAGGUUGGUCAUGAGAAAAUAAAUCUUUCAUUAAUAAUCAUUUCCAUUAAUCCAAGGUGGCAACCAGUGUUCUCAAAAUCGAAUCGGAAUGGUUAAUGGGCCCGGAAGUAGUUUAACUGACUUAACCGGUAAACCGGCCAAUUCAACCAUUCUAACCGGCCAAGUCCCAGGCGGUCAAAAAAGUGUUGAAAAAAUAA